AUCGUGUGUUGCGACCUGGUGGUUACUUUGUCUGGUCUGCCACUCCUGUUUAUCAAAAACUUCCAGAAGAUGUUGGCAUUUGGAAAGCAAUGUCUGAACUCACAAAGUCAAUGUGCUGGGAUCUCAUGGUGAUUAAAAAGGACAAACUAAAUGGUGUUGGUGCAGCAAUAUUUAGAAAGCCAACAUCCAAUGAAUGUUAUAAUAAGAGAACCCAAAAUGAGCCUCCACUGUGCAAAGAAUCUGAUGAUCCAAAUGCAGCCUGGAAUGUGCCACUUGAGGCAUGCAUGCAUAAAGUGCCUGUUGAUGCAUCAGAGCGUGGAUAUCAAUGGCCUGAGAAAUGGCCACAAAGAUUAGAGAAACCUCCUUACUGGCUGAACUCUCAAGUUGGAGUUUAUGGUAAAGCUGCUCCAGAGGAUUUUGCUGCUGACUACAAGCACUGGAAAAAUGUUGUGUCCCAGUCAUAUUUGAAAGGGAUGGGAAUUGACUGGUCUUCUGUGAGAAAUAUCAUGGACAUGAGAGCUGUAUAUGGAGGGUUUGCUGCGGCGCUCAAGGACUUGAAAGUUUGGGUUAUGAAUGUUGUACCAAUUGAUUCUCCAGACACACUUCCAAUAAUCUAUGAGCGUGGUUUAUUUGGGAUGUAUCAUGAUUGGUGUGAAUCGUUCAAUACUUAUCCUAGAACCUACGAUCUUCUCCAUGCUGAUCACCUAUUCUCCAGUCUCAAGAAGAGGUGUAACUUAGUUCCAGUAAUGGCAGAAGUGGAUAGGAUCUUGAGGCCAGAAGGAAAGCUGAUUGUGCGCGACCAUGUUGAAAUCAUAGGUGAGAUUGAGAGUAUGGCUAAGUCUAUGAACUGGGAAAUUCGAAUGAUUUACUCUAAAGAUAGUGAAGGACUGCUUUGUGUUCGCAAGACAAACUGGCGUCCCACUGAGUCAGAAUUGAUAAAGUCUGCUAUUAUUUGAACAGAGUGUUCCAGUUUUUGUCUUAAUGCUGAGGUUAGAAUAUAAUCUAUACCUCUCUUAAGCAUUUGAUUUUAAGCUUAGUAAUAGUAUUGGUCAAGAUUUUACCGUUCUUUUUUUCUUUUUUUUGGUUAUGCAAUUGUAAAAUUAUAUAGUUGAUUAUUUUAUACAGCACUUAUAUGAUGUUACUGUCCUAAUAUCUUCAUGUCUCUCUUUACUAUAAUGUUCAGCUUUGAAUUUAGUUAUUUCAUUUUCAU
rnacentral:misc_RNA from 1 species